GGUUUAACCGUGCUUAGAAACAAAGUGAAAAACAAGAAAAAAAAAAAGAAAAAAAAAAAGAAGAUAACCAGGUAUUCUUAGAGCUAUAGAUUUUUGGUCACUUGAUUUUAUAGAAUAUUUUAAUACACAGGAAAAAAAAAAAAAGGAUACGAGCAAAUUUAAUCCAACGAGGUAACGCACAGCCGGGGCGUGUGCCUGAGCUGGAACACGUGAAUGAGCAGCCAUAGAAGCCACCAAAAAAGGUUUUCCUGUUGAGACAAAGACCCGAGGUUGACACUGGCCCGUGGGGUCAGGCCUGGAGCUGGUGUUUGCAGAGCAGCCCUGGCUCUGCCCCAGCUGUGACCCUGGGGCUGGGCACGUGGGUGGCACAGGGGUCCCUCCCUCCCUCCCUCCCUGCCAGGCACCUCCUGUGCUCAGCAGCUCACAGAGCAGCCGGGAAGGGACAAGUUCACUCUUGAAGACCCCUUGAGGGAUCUCCCAAGGGGCUGAGGUUUGGGUUGGACUCCAGCUGAGGAGGAUGAAGGUGACCAGGAGCUGGAUGGGCCUCGCUGCGGAUUGUCCCUUUCUUACUGCACUGAUGCUCCAGUGGGAGCAGGAAGCAAUCCCUUGUAAGGCACAGUGGGGCCAGGGAUGAGCCCUCUGUGCUUGGGCAGUGGGAGAAGCCCUGGCUCUGCCAGCACACCAGGCAGGAGGCCCCGAGCCUCAGCCUCUCCUGGUGUGUGCAGAGCACAGGAGGGAUGAAGGAGGAGGCAGUGCUGUAACAUCCCCUCUGUCACUCCAGUGUCUCGGUGUCCGUGGGUGACUGAUGUGAGGAGAACUAGAAAGGAACUGAGCAGUGGGGUGCAGUCCCCAGCCCUCCAACUCCUUAGCCCAGGACAGCGUGAGGCAUCAGGACAGUUCCAAGAUUUACAACUCUGUUUUUACCAUUAAAACCAGAUCAGCCCAGAAAUUUGGCCAGCCACGGUCUGUGCUUGUCCCCUGCUGGGGGAACCGAAAUCCUUUGUUUGAUUUCACCAGCAAUAAGAGCCUGCAGCUGCUGGGCUCCCCCUGACAGCCUGCAGCGUCACCGGGCACGCCUGGGGCACCUGGAGCUGGGCUUUGGGCUCCCUGACUGGGCCGGGGACAGAACGGGGCCAGCAGCGCUGGGAAGCCACAGCCUUUACCUCUAGGGCAGCCGUCUCCUUUUGUGUCACUCCAUCCUUCCUCUGUCUCUCUCUGUUUGGGGUUUUCUUAGGCCAAGGGGUGUCUGUGGCCACCUCACCGUCCGAGUCAGGUGCUCAACUUUUCUAACACUGGUUAGAGACACAUCCAGCCUCCCUUUGUCCCCGGCUCUCCGGGCCCCAGCCCUCAAGGGGACACAGGACUCCACUCAGCAGUGCCAAAAAUCUUCACCACACCAGUCCCGAGCCCCUGGAGCUCCCUGUGCCCUGUCCCCAAAGCCUGGCUGGUUUUUAUACCGAGCUGUCUGCAGAACUCUCUGCCACGUGCCUGCACUCUGAAUGUUGCAUUCCUGGGCACUCCUGCUUCACCCUGCUUUGGUGGCUCCCAAUUCAGAUGUGAUCGGCUUUGGUCUUCCUUAAAGGGUCAGGGGAACUCUGGAAAUGCUUUUUUUACUGGCUCCAUACAGCUGUGUCUGUGUGAGUGUGGGAGGGUGAGCGUGUGUGUGUGUGUGUGUUUGUAUAGAUUUUAUAGAUGUAUCUAUAUCCACACACCUGCUUUUCUAUCUGUAGGGUAGUCACACACAUCUGUAGUCUAUUUAUGCACAUGUGUCAGCACACACACACACACAUUUAUAUAUAUAUAUGUAUAUCCUAGUUUUAAAUUACAUGUCAGUUCUGACCCUCCUGCAGGGCUGAUUGGCAGGUGACAAUUAUAACCUCUAGAUCCUGCUUUUCCAAAUAUGUACAGGUUCAUCUUGAAACAGGAAUUGGAGCAGACUCACAGACCCUCUCAUGUUUUCAGAGGUACAAGGAAGACUCCCAAUAUCCUUUUCUGUUUUUUGGGGGUUUUGAGCAAACCCUGUGUGCCAGAGGGCCCCUGGCCGAGCACCUGGAGAGCUUGGGGGGCUCCUUGUGGGGCUGGGGGGAAAGGCCUCCAGCCCUCCUGGGUUCCUGUCCCAUGGCUGCUGCACUGGCCCCAAAUCCUGGCCACCCUGGGGCCACCCAGCCCCUCCUCACUGCGGGACAUCCUCCUUGGCUUUGCUUCCCUCGGGGAUCUUCUUUGGGUUUCCAGCUCUCAGCACUGCAGUAGCCAACAUUGAGUUAUUCUGACUGGACCCCAGUCAACACUAGGCUUGUCUCAGUAGGUGGAACUAUAUUUAUUACUAUUAUUAUUAUUAUUACUAUUAUUAUUAUUAUUAUUAUUAUUAUUUUUUGGUUUCUUUUGGGGGGAAGGGAGGGGAAGAGUUCUAGGGGUGGGGUUUGCAAUAUAAAACACACAAUAAAAACCUUAGUAAAUAAAAAUGUGGAAAACCCACCCCUCUGCCUUGCUGUCUGCUUCACGUGGUGAGCUCCAGGCAAUGUGAGACGAGCUUUAAAGAAGAAAAUCCCAUUUCAGCCCUUUGCCUUGCCCUGUCUCUAUUUUCCUGCUGCCUUUGGAGCUUUGCCAGGGUGUUCACCACCUCACACGUUCUCAGACACUGACAGGAAAAGUUUAAAACUUCCACCAACACCUGAAUUUUCACCUUGCCAAGGGAGAAACCAGGCAGUUGUUUGCAGAUGUGUGCAGGAAAAUCCUUCACUUGGAUGCAGACCUGGAAGCUGUGGCUGCCUGUGGGACCCCUGGAGAAGGAGACAGGACAGCCCCUGGCAGCAGGACAGGGACCGAGCCAGGAGUCGCACGGGGAGGAGGGAGCUGGAGGAGGAUCCAAGGCUAGGAGCUGAAGCGUUUUAGGAAGGUAAGGCUGGCCUCAGCUCUGAGCUUCUGUCCACUCCUGCAAGGCCCUCUCCGAGUCCAAACCCACCUGGGAAGUGACUCCAGGUGGGUCACCUUGUCCUGGAGCUUCCACGAGGGGAUUCAGGCACUGCAAUGUUGGGUUUGCCUUUUGGAACGGCUUUUUAAGCCAGGCUGUUUCUGUGCUGUUCCUAUUACAGAGAGAAGGGAUUGUUAGCCCUGACCAAGCCAACAUUGCUUUUAGAAUUAAGAUUUCACAGAAGAUUUGUAAACUUGCAAGGUUGGACUGGAACAAAAUCCAAGUCUGGAGCUCUCAAAGCACACUUGGAAGGCCUGGCUGGUUCAGCACGUGGCGAUGCCUCCCUGCAAGGACUUCACAGUGCCCUGGGGUGAUCUGGCUGUGGGGGAAAACAUCCCCAGACACUAGAGCCAGGUCAGCAGGGUGGGUCUGCCCCCUCAUCACCCCUGCCCACCCCACAGAACCUCAGGAUCCCUCCCCCAGUGUGGGGGAAAGGCAGGAGCAGCAGCUCUGGCAGCUCUUUGCCCAGUCCCAGGUUUGGGCAGGGCUGGAAUUCAUGGGAAUUUCAGCCUUAUCUUGGGAGCCUGGCCCAGCUGUGCUGCCCAGCCCUGGAGAAGAGCUUUGGGAGAGGCAGCAGCUCCCACACUCACAGUUCUUGCACCCUGUGGGAGAGUUUGGAGUGUUGGAGCCAAGAGAACCCGACAAAUGCCAGCAGUGCACUGGGACUGGUCCCUGCAGAGCCAGCCCCGGGCAGGAAGGAAAGUGAUGCCCGCAGAGAGAAGCAAGCUGGGGCUCAGCUCUCGGGAGGAGGUUUUUCCUCAUCUCUGCAGCCUCCCUGAGCUCUGUGAUGGAGCAGCAACCUGGCAGGAGCCUCAGCGCUGCUCCCCAGCCACUGCCACCAUCCCCCAGAAAGCCCCCACUGGGGCUGGGCUUGUGCAUGCCCUGGCUGAGUCCUAUUUCAUCUCCUCUGCAGAUCCAGGGAUCUCCCAGCUCAGGCACCCUGCUAGGUACUCCUGGGAAUACCCAGAAGGAAAAGGGAGCCGCAUCUUUUUCCGCCCUGCUGGGGGAGCCGUGAGAAAGCUGGGAAUGACCCCUCUAAAGUGACCAACACAUCAGAGUGUGUAUUUUACCUAAAGUAAGGAACAGCAGCUGGAGACAGAGCUGGCACCUGGUGAGGCAGGACCCUUCCCUUGGGAAUAGUUCCCUGCCCAGCGCUGCAUCCACAUCUCCAGGGCCCAGAGGGCUCAGCUGGGACAUCAGGACCACGGGAGUGCCAGGAGAGGGGAGGGCAGCCCGCGGCAGGAUCCCGGGAGCCGAGCCCUGUGCCAGGCUCCAGGGUGGCUGGAGCACGGCGAUGGAGCACGGCGAUGGAGCCCAGGAACGGGGAUGUGCCGAGGAGCGCUCCCUGUUCCCUGGAGGCGCUCCAGAGCCUCCUUCCCUUCCUUGUCCCUCCAGCCUGGCUGCCGUGACCCGAGCCCGAGGUGGGAUCCCUCCCUCUGCUCAGCUCGGUCAUUCCCCUCGCGGUGGGGAGGAGAAGCAGGGCAGGGCAAGCUGCAGGCCGGCUUUGCCCUCAGGGGUUGGAAGUGAUUCUGCAGCAGCUUUUCCUCAUCUCUGCGGUUCUUUAGCCACGUUUGUCCCUUGCCCCGCGUGGAGAAAUGCUCCACUCCCACUGUGGUCCCAGGUUUCGUGUGUGCCUUUGGCCCCCCUGUCCCGGUUUCUCAGCCCAAAUCUGUGCUCAGAAACCUGCAGAAAUUAAACGAAGCUGCUCAGGCACGUUGUGAGCGGCCCUAUCGUCUCCUGGCAGAGGUGCAGCCUUGGCUGGGGCCUGUCCCGGCAGGGGGAAACCCAGGGGAGAAGCUGGGACAGCCCGAGGUGGCCAGGUCAGAGCUCAGCACCUCCUCCUGUGCUCCCCAGGGCCUCGGGGCUCGGUGUCCCCUGCCCUGUCCCCACCUGUCCCUGUGCCCUGCUCCCUGGAUGGGCAGGGGGGCUCCAAGCCUGCUCUCUCCUCUCGAUGGAGAGAGGCUGAAUUUUAGCCCGGGUUUAUGUACAUUGGUUUUGUCACAUCAUUUGCAGAGGCCCCGGACAUUCUGCCUGACCAAUUCCAGCGCCCUUUGCCUAAGCCGCGCUCUGGCUUUAAUGUUUUUAAUGGAGCCGAAGGUGGUGCCAUUAGGGAAAAUUAAGGGAACAAAGCCCUGGCUUGGUUCUGCCAUUUGCUUCCCCUUCCAGCAUCCCCGCAGCCCCCAGCCCACCCCGAUCACCGGCGGCGCUGCUCCCUCCGCUCCUUUCCCAGCUCCCGAUGGGAACAGACCCCGGCUGGAGCCUCGCAGGAGGCGGGGAUGCUCACACAGAGCUCACACAGAGACACAGCGGCUCCCCGGCUGAAAGCGGGAGCUCACCGUGCUCUCCCGGCUGUCCCCAGCACGGGCAGGAAGGGGUUAACAACUUCUGCACGGAGCGGCCGAGCCCCUUCCCCUCCCCGGGAGCCGCGGUCCUGGCGGUGCUGCCAACUAAGAGAGCCCUUCGGGGUCAUCCCCCUCUUCCUUCCCACUGCGUGUCUCCCCCGGCCGCUUUAUUGGGGGUGGGAGCGGGGCUGGCUCCGAGGAGCCCGCCUGUGUCCCCUGCAGCCCCCCGGUCCCUGCAGCCCCCCCGGGCCCUGCAGCCCCCCGGGCCCAGCCAGCAGUGCCCGCUGCCCCAGAACAGCCCUGACGGAUUCCCUGGAGCACAGGAGCUUUGGGAAGGAGGGACACGGGCACAUCUGCGCUGCCAGGCAGGAAUGAGUCCCUCGGGCAGGAAUUCACCUCUCCCCGCUGUCUCACACCCCUCUUGUGACAGAGAUCGGAGCGGCAGGACAGCUCGUGUUUCAGGGCCCUGGGAGCCCUGCGGAGGCUCUGGGGCUCGGGACGGGCACACCCAGCUCCACAGGGAUGCUCAAGGUGUGGCUUUAAUCCGCGCUGCCACGAAAGCUCCAUCCCACAGAUCCAGCAGGAGCUGCGGGUAGGAGCUGGGACACCUGGAGCCACUGGUGGCACAACUCACACCUUUUGUUCCUCCCCGUCUCCAGCAAAGUCAAACCUUAAAUCACAGAGUUUGGUGAAAGUGGUACAAAACCAGGCAGAACCAGGAAGACACCAGCCUCGGGUGCUCUGGAAUAUCCCCUGGGAGCCCGUGAGUCACUGCGGGCACUCAGACUCCACUUCUAUUUAUCUGGUGAUACUGGUUUUUGUUGGAUGGGUUUUAUUACAUCCCAGCGGUUUUCACAAGGCAACCUCGGCGGGGAAAGGCUGUCCCCACUCCAGCUCCCAUCCCAUUAACACCCCACUGUUCCCUGCCCCCUUUCCAGGCAAAGCAAAGCCCAGAUGGGUGGGCAGAGACAGCCUCGGGCAGCUGGGCUGGGACUCAGGGAAAUGUCCUGAGCCUGGAGAUGGGAAACACCUGAGCUGGAGAUGGGAAACACCUGAGCUGGAGAUGGGAAACACCUGAGCUGGAGAUGGGAAACACCUGAGCUGGAGAUGGGAAACAAACACCUGAGCUGGAGAUGGGAAACACCUGAGCUGGAGAUGGGAAACAAACACCUGAGCUGGAGAUGGGAAACACCUGAGCUGGAGAUGGGAAACAAACACCUGAGCUGGAGAUGGGAAACACCUGAGCUGGAGAUGGGAAACAAACACCUGAGCUGGAGAUGGGAAACACCUGAGCUGGAGAUGGGAAACGCCUGAACUGGAGAUGGGAAACGCCUGAACUGGAGAUGGGAAACGCCUGAACUGGAGAUGGGAAACACCUGGGGACUGUGGGGCACAAGCAGGUUCCAGUUUGGCUUCUCUCAGUCCAGCUCCUUGCAGCGACCAGCAGGAAGGAGCAGCAGGAGCUCCUGUGUCUGCCUGGGUAGGAGUGGAGGGGUUUUGGGGGGAUUCACCACCUGAGCCCCACCUUUUGGGCGUGCUGCUGGUCCUUCUAAUUCCUGACUGCUGGGGCAGCUGUGGGGAGAGGCUGAGCUCUGUCCCCCUGGCCACUCCUGCUUCUAGCUGGGGCUGCUCUGGGGGACUUGGUUGGGGUGGAAGGUUCUGGAAGGUGCUGGAUCUGGGAAUUGGGCUGUGUGCCCCGUUUUUAGGGUCUCGUCUGUGCUGGCAUGUUUGGGGCCAGGACUGGACAACAUUUCCUCCCCCCCAGCCCCAUGUCUGGGGCAGCCUUGUCCUUUUUGCUUUCCCCACCCUCCCAGCACUGCCUGCACCUGCCCAGCUUUUCUCGCUUUUUUUCCCAAGAGGGAAAACGGCCCCACUGAGGCGUGUCCAGAGCUGGGCAAGGGAGGGCUGGAAUUGCUGUGGGGAUCCAGGAGGGAACGCAGCCGAGAAAGGCCCUGUUCCUGCAGCCUGGCCUCGGCACUUGGGGAUGCUGUGAGGGCUCUGUGCCCCGCAGGAAAAGGUGGAGAAAUCCGCAGGAGCAGGAGCAGCCAGGCAGGGACAGAGAGGGGGGGCUGGGGAGGGCUGGACACGGUCCCGCUGCUCCUUGGGACAGGGCCACCCCCAGCCAGGGUGACCCAGAGCCAGCCCUCGAGGCUGGGGGUGCUGGGAGAGGGUUUGGGAUGGCGCCGGGAGCAGGAACCCUGGGAAGGUUUGGGUGGCAGCUGCUGGCAGCAGAGCCGGGGCUGUUUGUCACCGCAGCGGGGGCAGCGCAGCCCCCGGCAUCCCCGCCGGGGGGAUGGACCGGGGGAUGCUGUCACCAUGGACACGGGCAGCGAUGGGCUCCGCUGUUUUUCCAGGAGCACCAGGAUGCCGGGAUCCCGGGAUGGGCGGUCGGGAACCCGGCCAUUCGGGGCUUCCACCGGGAAAACUCCUGCCCGGGCUCCCCGCGGCGUGUGUGACCCCAGAGCUGUGUCCGGGAGCCCCAGCCCAGCCCCGUGUCCUGCAGGGGAUCAGCACCUGCCUGUGCUCGCUGAGAAAGGGCCCCGCUGAGCUCGGGCCGGAGCUUCCCGCACCUCCCUGGAUGCUCCAGCUCCGCCUGGGGCGCUGCCAGGACCCUCCUCCUGUUCCCCUCAGUUUGCAGCCAGGGCUGAAACCCUCGCCUCGAGAGGAGAUCGGGGGAGGUGGAGCCACCGCCAACCUGGAAUGACCGGAGGGAGAAAGGGGCUCAGCCAGAGCUCCAGAAGAGGAGCCUGGGCCAGCCCAGCCUCCCCUCGCCCGCAGCCCGCCGAGGGUGAUGUUUUCACUGUGGAGCUCUGGAAUAGGGAGACAGGAAGAUGCUCCAAGUUCAGUGUGUGCACAAAGCCUGAGGGAGGGAGAAGAGUUCUCCUCCAACCCACAGCAAGGGAAAAAAGGGUGAGUAAAACCCCAAAUCUGGUCACUGUACUGAUUAGGAAUAAUUAAACAAACUCUCCAAGCAGCCCAGGAGUUGAUUGGAUUAAAAAAAGUGUAUUGGAUGCCCAAUACAAAAUAAUAAACAUGAAGUUAUUAAAAAAAGCCAUAGAGGAUACAGCAAAUACUACAGAAAAGCAAAAAAAUUGUACAGAAAGGUCGACAUCUACAGCAGUCCUUGAAAUUCUUCUACAUGAGAAUCAUAAAACAAUGUACAGGUUUGGUUUGUUCCUUUUUCCCCAAAUGUCUGAGGGAAGCUGUCACUGCACAGCUGGACUAUGACACUACAAAGAUACACAAUGUUCCAAAGUUAAAAUCACAGGAUAUGUAAGAAAACGUAGCAUUAAAAUGUGAAAAAGUGCAAUACAGAUUGUACAUUGAAUUGAAUAAAUGUUUUUUUCUUUUUUUUUUUUUCUCAGUUUAACCUUAAAAAACCAACUUUGAACAGUUGUUUUAGCAUUAAAAAUAUUCCCCCUCCCCAAAUUCAAUGACAAUAUUAACAUUCAUGGUGUUCUACAUUAGGAAUAUUCACAAAGGCCCCCAGCUGGGAAUACUGUGUGU